rnacentral:lncRNA from 10 species
UAGUCCAUUCUCAUGUUGCUAUAAGGACAGAGACUGGGUAAUUUAUAAAGGAAAUAAAUUAAAUUGGCUCACAGUUCUGCAGGGCUGGGGAGGGCUCAGGAAACUUACAAUCAUGAUGGAAGGAGAAGCAAACACAUCCUUCUUCCCAAGCGGCAAGAGAGAGAAGAAUGAGAGCCAAGCGUAGGGGGAAGCCCCUUGUAAAACCAUCAGCUCUGGUUAAAGACUUCCUCUUUUCAGAGUAAAUGCUUUUUUUUUUUUUUUUUGGCCAAAAUGCAUACCACUCCCUUACAGUGGCCAUUUCAUAAUGUGAUUGAACCUAAUUGUAUCAUCUGCUGAAGGAGGAGGGUCACCAAAAUGGCGGCCCCCACGUUUCCUAACCCCCUGUGAAAGCCCCCAACACAGAAAGGAAAGGAUAGCUGUGAACUAGGGGAAAUGCCUAGCAGAUCAACAAAACCCCACCUAGGAGAAAACAAUCAUUCAUUCCCUCAAGAAUUGCCCACCCCCACCAUCUCACAGGUCUGAAAUUGCAGAAUGCCAAUGUCUCCAGGGGACAGGCAGAUGACAGAAGCUCCGGCGACUCACACAUGUGAAGCAGGGGAAUGCUGCAAGUCGUGGGGACAUUAGUGUUCCUCUCUCACUGCAGUGUUAGUGUUGCCAGCCUCUCAAAUGUUUUCAAGAGAUGCAGGAAGUCGAGACUUUUGGGUGAAAUGGUACACUCUUCAAAUUUGGUAACUAUUUUUUUUUUUUUUUUUUUUUUUUUGUGAGACGGAGUCUCGCUCUGUCGCCCAGGCUGGAGUGCAGUGGCACGAUCUCAGCUCACUGUAAGCUCCGCCUCCUGGGUUCAUGCCUUUCUCCUGCCUCAGCCUCCCAAGUAGCUGGGACUACUACAGGCACCCGCCACCACACCCGGCUAAUUUUUUGUAUUUUUAGUAGACACAGGGUUUCACCGUGUUAGCCAGGAUGGUCUUGAUCUCCUGACCUUGUGAUCCGUCCGCAUCAGCCUCCCAAAGUGCUAGGAUUACAGGCGUGAGCCACCACGCCCGGCCUUCAAAUUUGGUAACGAUUUUGUUCUAAUUUAAUACACUGUAUGGGCCAAACAAAAGCCAGUUUUUGGCCAAUCACGUGAUAGCACUUCAAGCGGGCUUCUACAUAACUGAAGGAACAGCCUGUCCAGUAGGUGACCAGUGAUCAGAGGCAUGGAUAGGAGUCCAGUGCAGGAUGGCAUUUGAAUGGUCCCUUUAUUUUUCUGGACUACAAAUGCACAAGCGCUGGGUUUGGGCCACGUUAUCUCUGUAGCUUCUUGUGUGUUGCUGUUCUGGGACCCCCUGAGGACGGCCUUCCGCUCCCUAACGGUGCGGCCCUGUUGACAUUCUGUUCUCUCGAUAAUUGCUAGGAUGGCUUUACCAACACGGUUACCUCAGAAUUGAAAUCCAGCAAAGGAGUCAUUAGCAGUUUAACUGCAUUUAAAAUAUACAUAAGGUCCCCCUCACCCACCCUCUUGUUCUCCUUUAUUCACAGUUCCAUGUGGCCCUUCACUACAAAGGAUGCUGGAGUAAUCAGCCUCUUCCUCAGAAAAGAGUUCAUGAUAACACACAAGCACAAGCCUAGAAGACAGCAAUUCCAUGUCCAUAAUCGGAUCCUGCUUUAUAUUGGGUUGUGUUUUAUAUUACUUGAAAACUAUGAGAUUAAGUUAAUUAACCACUCGCUAUCCUCUAUCAGGACAGCAGGUCAUGCAGUUCUAAUCCCUGAUGAUUAUCUGACAUGUGGAGAAAAUACCAUGAAAUAUUCAUGAGUGUAUACAAAGUGCCUGACUCAUAGUUAGCUCAAGUAAAUGUGUGUGCCUGUGUCCUGAAAGAGUGGUUAUUUCCCCCAGCACUAACACUACCGUAAGAAGUGCAGGUGGGAGAAAAACAAAGAGGACCUCUGAGUCAGACACCCCCUCCAGGGCUCCAUUGUUCUCAUUCAAGUCAGGAGAUGGUGGAAUAUCUCCAUGUCCCAGAAG